rnacentral:rRNA from 1 species
UACGUAGGGUGCGAGCGUUGUCCGGAAUUAUUGGGCGUAAAGGGCUCGUAGGCGGUUUGUCGCGUCGGGAGUGAAAUCCACUGGCUUAACUGGUGGCUUGCUUUCGAUACGGGCAGACUGGAGUUCGGCAGGGAGGACUGGAAUUCCUGGUGUAGCGGUGAAAUGCGCAGAUAUCAGGAGGAACACCGGUGGCGAAGGCGGGUCUCUGGGCCGAUACUGACGCUGAGGAGCGAAAGCGUGGGGAGCGAACAGG